GCUGGGCGUGGUGGCGGGCGCCUGUAAUCCCAACUACUCAGGAGGCUGAGGCAGGAGAAUUGCUUGAACCCGGGAGGCGGAAGUUGCAGUGAGCUGAAAUUGCACACUGCACUCCAGCCUGGGCGACAGAGCAAGACUCUGUCUCAA
rnacentral:SRP_RNA from 1 species